UACGGAGGGGGCUAGCGUUGUUCGGAAUUACUGGGCGUAAAGCGCACGUAGGCGGACUGGAAAGUCAGGGGUGAAAUCCCGGGGCUCAACCCCGGAACUGCCUUUGAAACUCCCAGUCUUGAGGUCGAGAGAGGUGAGCGGAAUUCCGAGUGUAGAGGUGAAAUUCGUAGAUAUUCGGAGGAACACCAGUGGCGAAGGCGGCUCACGGGCUCGAUACUGACGCUGAGGUGCGAAAGCGUGGGGAGCAAACAGG
rnacentral:rRNA from 1 species